GAUGAACGCUGGCGGCGUGCCUAAUACAUGCAAGUCGAGCGAACAGACGAGGAGCUUGCUCCUCUGACGUUAGCGGCGGACGGGUGAGUAACACGUGGAUAACCUACCUAUAAGACUGGGAUAACUUCGGGAAACCGGAGCUAAUACCGGAUAAUAUAUUGAACCGCAUGGUUCAAUAGUGAAAGACGGUUUUGCUGUCACUUAUAGAUGGAUCCGCGCCGCAUUAGCUAGUUGGUAAGGUAACGGCUUACCAAGGCAACGAUGCGUAGCCGACCUGAGAGGGUGAUCGGCCACACUGGAACUGAGACACGGUCCAGACUCCUACGGGAGGCAGCAGUAGGGAAUCUUCCGCAAAGGGCGAAAGCCUGACGGAGCAACGCCGCGUGAGUGAUGAAGGUCUUCGGAUCGUAAAACUCUGUUAUUAGGGAAGAACAAAUGUGUAAGUAACUAUGCAUGUCUUGACGGUACCUAAUCAGAAAGCCACGGCUAACUACGUG
rnacentral:rRNA from 1 species